AGUGAAAUGCCACAUUUUGUAUUGAUUCGCUGUACGUUUCUUGGUCCACAUCACGAUGCUCAUCUCGUUCCUUAAGAUAUGUAGUGGAUUUGGAUCAGGUAGCUCUGUGACCAUUUCUCUCUGUGUUAUACCGCAGCAGCUGAAAUAUCCUGGGGAGUUAAUUGCCACCCAUCUAUAACUCUCAUGACCUCAGUUAUUGUCUUCCCUCCAACCUCCUCCAUUUGAAGGCUGUGGUAAACACCCUGAUGUUGUUUAUGUCUGAAAAUUUUCCAAAUUCCUUCUUUCAGGAGGCUUUCAAUUUGUAUAGAGCAAAGAAACUAUAUCUUGGUGCUUAAAUUCAAUUCCGUGAUAUCAGGUGCUCUAGAAAUAUCUUCAGAUAGUUGCAUUGUCUUUUCCAAGACUGCAUCUGUGCUCAUUUGUUUAAGUCUGUCAGCUGCCUUUGCUGACUGCAAUUUUUUGCUGAUAUGUGCUGCAGCUCUUGCCUGAGUUUGAAAUAUGCUCUUAGGGGUUAUGUUCUUACAGGUGGUGGUUUGGUCACUGAUUUUAGCUCUCCUCAGGGUCUCAUCCAUGAGCUUUGGUCAGUCGUUCUUUCCUGAUCACUGAUGCAAUCUCUCUCUUCAUUUAAUUCCCUAAACUAAUAUCUAGAAUGAAUUUGAUGCUUACCUCACAUUAGCUCAGAAGCUCUUCCCUGACUUUGGUAGGGGUAUCACUCUGGUGGCAAACAGUUAUACAUUCUUUUAAAACAUUGUAAAUGAAGCCCUGGUCAUUUCUGUAAUGCCUGUAUUUUUUCUGAAACUUAUAAAAAGGGGCUAAAUAUAUGGAUGUUUAAGAACACAUUUUAGCCAAUACCAAUAUGCUCCUGUAUGCAAUAUAAGCAUUUCUGUGGGCUUGCACUUUUUGAAGUAAAAACUCUAAAAGUAAAUUCCAGGAGUAAGUAGUGAUAUUUCUUCUGUUUAUCUACCUUGCUAUAUUAUUCCAGCUAAGAAACCAUGCUUUACUACUGCUGUUUUCUGCAUAAUUUCUACCAGUUGUGGGUGCUAAUAGCAAUAGAAAGCUCUCUGCUUCAUAAAUGGCCAUUUGGAAAACCUAGAAGAGCUGUGGUGCAGAGCGCAUCAUUUCAACACGUGAAGAAUUUUCCUUGAUUUCUGAACAUCUCUCUUCUUCACUGGGGUAGAACUGCCCAUUGCUACCUCCUUCCUUGCUUUCACUGUAUU
rnacentral:lncRNA from 1 species